UACGUAGGGGGCUAGCGUUGUCCGGAUUUAUUGGGCGUAAGAGCGUGUAGGCGGCCAGGUAGGUCUGGUGUGAAAACUCGAGGCUUAACCUCGAGAUGUCAUCGGAAACCAUCUGGCUAGAGUCCGGAAGAGGAGAGUGGAAUUCCUGGUGUAGCGGUGAAAUGCGCAGAUAUCAGGAAGAACACCAAUGGCGAAAGCAGCUCUCUGGGACGGUACUGACGCUGAGACGCGAAAGCGUGGGGAGCGAACAGG
rnacentral:rRNA from 1 species